CAGUCGCCGCGGUAAAACCAGCACCUCGAGUGGUCAGGAGGUUUAUUGGGCCUAAAGCAUCCGUAGCCGGUUGCAUAAGUUUUCGGUUAAAUCUAUGCGCUUAACGUAUAGGCCGCCGAAAAUACUGUGCAGCUAGGGAGUGGGAGAGGUACACGGUACUCGAUAGGAAGGGGUAAAAUCCUUUGAUCUAUUGAUGACCACCUGUGGCGAAGGCGGUGUACCAGAACACGUUCGACGGUGAGGGAUGAAAGUUGGGGGAGCAAACCGGAUUAGAGACCCCAGUAGUCCCUGUCUCUUAUAC
rnacentral:rRNA from 1 species